rnacentral:rRNA from 1 species
AUGGCAUCGUUCGGCGAGGCGCCGGCAGGCAACGCCGCGAGCGGCGAGAAGAUCUUCAAGACCAAGUGCGCGCAGUGCCACACGGUGGAGCGCGGCGGCGCCCACAAGCAGGGCCCCAACCUCAGCGGCCUCUUCGGCCGCCAGUCCGGCACCACCGCCGGAUAUGCCUACUCCACCGCCAACAAGAGCAUGGCCGUCGUCUGGGAGGAAAACACCCUCUACGACUACCUCCUCAACCCUAAGAAGUACAUCCCUGGGACCAAGAUGGUGUUCCCGGGCCUCAAGAAGCCGCAGGAGCGCGCCGACCUCAUCGCAUACCUCAAGAAAUCCACCGCUUAA